GUGAGGAUUGGUUUCUUAAUUCAAUGACUGAUAAGGUGUGUCAUGUGAUGUGUAGGCAUUCAUUUAUUAGUAGGUGUCCGAAUCGAUGAGGUGUGUGAUUGAACCGGAAUAAUAAAUGGUCAAAAUGUUAAUUUUGUGUGAAUAAUGGAUUUAUGGUAUUCUACUUUUGAAAAAGUUUGAUUGGUUGAUAGCUUAAAGUGGUAAGGAUGAAUUAUGCAAGGUGCAUCCACAUGAUUUUAAUUCUUAAUUAUUUACUAGUGUAGUAACCCGUGCGAUGCGACGGGUAAAAAAUUAGAAAAAAAUUAAAAAUAUUAAUGAUAUAUUUUUUCAAAAAAUUUUAAAUAAUUUAUAUUUGAUAGAUUUAAAUUAUUCAAAUAUGUAGGGAAUCUAUAUGUAUGAGUCAACAGUUUAAAAAUAAAUA
rnacentral:lncRNA from 1 species